UUUUCUCCACACCCUCUCCAGCAUUUAUUGUUUGUAGAUUUUUUGAUGAUGGCCAUUCUGACCGGGGCAAGGUGAUACCUCAUUGUAGUUUUGAUUUGCAUUUCUCUA